UACGAAGGGGGCUAGCGUUGCUCGGAAUUACUGGGCGUAAAGGGCGCGUAGGCGGCACUGUUAGUCAGGCGUGAAAGUCCUGGGCUCAACCUCGGAACUGCCUUCGAUACUGCGGGUCUCGAGUCCGGGAGAGGUGAGUGGAAUUCCUAGUGUAGAGGUGAAAUUCGUAGAUAUUAGGAAGAACACCAGUGGCGAAGGCGGCUCACUGGCCCGGUACUGACGCUGAGGCGCGAAAGCGUGGGGAGCAAACAGG
rnacentral:rRNA from 1 species